rnacentral:rRNA from 1 species
AUGAAAACCUUCAUCAAAACUCAAGUCCAAUCCUGCUUGGUGUGUCAGCAAGCUAAACCAGAAAGAGUUCAGUACCCUGGAUUGCUAUCUCCUCUGCCAGUACCUUCCAAAGCUUGGCACACACUGUCUAUGGAUUUUAUCUCAAGUCUUCCUACAUCCUUCCAGUACAACUGCAUACUUGUGGUGAUUGACAAGUUCUCUAAAUAUGGUCAUUUCGUUCCUCUCUCACACCCCUUCAAUGCGCAGAAAGUGGCUGAAGCUUUUCUAGACAAUGUGUACAAGUUGCAUGGUAUGCCCAGGAUUAUCAUCUGUGACAGAGACCCUGUUUUCACUAGCACAUUCUGGCAACUGCUUAUUUCCAAAACUGGAGCAGAGCUGAACAUGAGUACAGCAUAUCACCCAGAGACUGACGGCCAAACUGAAAGAGUAAAUCGGCAAAUUGAGUGUUUCUUGCGGUGUUUCAUCAGUGCCCAUCCUACUAAAUGGAGCAAAUGGUUGUCGCUUUGUGAAUUCUGGUACAAUACCAACUGGCAUUCGGCACUGAACAAAACGCCAUUUGAAAUCAUUUAUGGGCAGACUCCACGGUUCUUUGGAAUAUCUGCUUCUGAUACAAUUGCUCCCGUCGAUGUCCAAUCGUGGUUGGACUCCCGACAGUUGAUGAUCGCAUCGGUAAAACAACACUUGUUGCGUGUUCAGCAGAGAAUGAAGCAUCAAGCAGACAAGAAAUGGAUUGAACGAGUUUUUGCUGCCAACGAUCUCGUGUUCCUCAAACUGCAACCAUACGUGCAAUCAUCAGUUGUCAGAAGAGCCAACCACAAGCUUUCAUUCAAGUACUUUGGUCCUUACAAGAUACUCGACAAAAUUGGAGAAGUUGCAUACCGACUGGAGUUGCCUCCUGAUAGUCGCAUCCACCCAGUGUUUCAUGUAUGUCUCAGCUCAAGAAGUUCAUUCCGCCAACGACUCGGGUACAAACACAGUUACCCUCUCCUACAG